UGGCGCACGGGUGAGUAAUGUAUAGUUAAUCUGCCCUAUGCUGGAGGACAACAGUUAGAAAUGACUGCUAAUACUCCAUACUCCUUCUUAACACAAGUUAAGUUGGGAAAGUUUUUUCGGCAUAGGAUGAGACUAUAUUGUAUCAGCUAGUUGGUGAGGUAAUGGCUCACCAAGGCUAUGACGCAUAACUGGUCUGAGAGGAUGAUCAGUCACACUGGAACUGAGACACGGUCCAGACUCCUACGGGAGGCAGCAGUAGGGAAUAUUGCUCAAUGGGGGAAAGCCUGAAGCAGCAACGCCGCGUGGAGGAUGACACUUUUCGGAGCGUAAACUCCUUUUCUUAGGGAAGAAAUUUGACGGUACCUAAGGAAUAAGCACCGGCUAACUCCGUGCCAGCAGCCGCGGUAAUACGGAGGGUGCAAGCGUUACUCGGAAUCACUGGGCGUAAAGGACGCGUAGGCGGAUUAUCAAGUCUUUUGUGAAAUCUAAUGGCUCAACCAUUAAACUGCUUGAGAAACUGAUAAUCUAGAGUGAGGGAGAGGCAGAUGGAAUUGGUGGUGUAGGGGUAAAAUCCGUAGAGAUCACCAGGAAUACCCAUUGCGAAGGCGAUCUGCUAGAACUCAACUGACGCUAAUGCGUGAAAGCGUGGGGAGCAAACAGGAUUAGAUACCCUGGUAGUCCACGCCCUAAACGAUGUAUACUAGUUGUUGCUGUGCUAGUCAUGGCAGUAAUGCACCUAACGGAUUAAGUAUACCGCCUGGGGAGUACGGUCGCAAGAUUAAAACUCAAAGGAAUAGACGGGGACCCGCACAAGCGGUGGAGCAUGUGGUUUAAUUCGAAGAUACGCGAAGAACCUUACCUGGGCUUGAUAUCCUAAGAACCUUGUAGAGAUACGAGGGUGCUAGCUUGCUAGAACUUAGUGACAGGUGCUGCACGGCUGUCGUCAGCUCGUGUCGUGAGAUGUUCGGUUAAGUCCGGCAACGAGCGCAACCCACGUAUUUAGUUGCUAACAGUUUGGCUGAGCACUCUAAAUAUACUGCCUUCGUAAGGAGGAGGAAGGUGUGGACGACGUCAAGUCAU
rnacentral:rRNA from 1 species